AUCCAUUCAUCUAUCCGCACUCCACACCGCAGGAAAGUGAGAGUAACGUUUGCUCGUCUUAGGAGGGAUCGCCGCAAGAAGGUGAAGAAGCUGGCGAAUGGCAGAAAUGUAACAACCAAGCAGCAAGCAGCAAGCAUCACGCAGCAAUGUAAUAGUAAUUCCGAAAAUGGACACGAAAGAAAGCUAAAGAUACCCCUGGAGACCCUGGAGACGUGGCUCUGAUUGAGUGCUGGUAAUUCCAUCAAAUGAAUGAUCCAUGAUUAUGCAGAAACAUAUUAAAAAUACGAAUUUGUAAUGUGGUCGAUUGGAAGCGUA